GCGAGAGUGGCGGAAUUGGUAGACGCGCACGUUUGAGGGGCGUGUGAUUCGCUCGUACGGGUUCAAGUCCCGUUUCUCGCACCA
rnacentral:tRNA from 1 species